AACGAACGCUGGCGGCAUGCCUAACACAUGCAAGUCGAACGAGACCUUCGGGUCUAGUGGCGCACGGGUGCGUAACGCGUGGGAACCUGCCCUUAGGUUCGGAAUAACUCCCCGAAAGGGGUGCUAAUACCGGAUAAUGUCUUCGGACCAAAGAUUUAUCGCCUUUGGAUGGGCCCGCGUUGGAUUAGCUAGUUGGUAGGGUAAAAGCCUACCAAGGCGACGAUCCAUAGCUGGUCUGAGAGGAUGAUCAGCCACACUGGGACUGAGACACGGCCCAGACUCCUACGGGAAGCAGCAGUGGGGAAUAUUGGACAAUGGGCGAAGGCCUGAUCCAGCAAUGCCGCGUGAGUGAUGAAGGCCUUAGGGUUGUAAAGCUCUUUUACCCGGGAUGAUAAUGACAGUACCGGGAGAAUAAGCUCCGGCUAACUCCGUG
rnacentral:rRNA from 1 species